CCUACGGGGGGCUGCAGUGGGGAAUAUUGCACAAUGGGCGCAAGCCUGAUGCAGCCAUGCCGCGUGUGUGAAGAAGGCCUUCGGGUUGUAAAGCACUUUCAGCGGGGAGGAAGGCGGUGAGGUUAAUAACCUCAUCGAUUGACGUUACCCGCAGAAGAAGCACCGGCUAACUCCGUGCCAGCAGCCGCGGUAAUACGGAGGGUGCAAGCGUUAAUCGGAAUUACUGGGCGUAAAGCGCACGCAGGCGGUCUGUCAAGUCGGAUGUGAAAUCCCCGGGCUCAACCUGGGAACUGCAUUCGAAACUGGCAGGCUAGAGUCUUGUAGAGGGGGGUAGAAUUCCAGGUGUAGCGGUGAAAUGCGUAGAGAUCUGGAGGAGUACCGGUGGCGAAGGCGGCCCCCUGGACAAAGACUGACGCUCAGGUGCGGAAGCGUGGGGAGCAAACAGGAUUAGAUACCCUAGUAGUC
rnacentral:rRNA from 1 species